rnacentral:rRNA from 1 species
GGAUGAACGCUGGCGGCGUGCCUAAUACAUGCAAGUCGAGCGAACAGAUGAGGAGCUUGCUCCUCUGACGUUAGCGGCGGACGGGUGAGUAACACGUGGAUAACCUACCUAUAAGACUGGGAUAACUUCGGGAAACCGGAGCUAAUACCGGAUAAUAUAUUGAACCGCAUGGUUCAAUAGUGAAAGACGGUUUUGCUGUCACUUAUAGAUGGAUCCGCGCCGCAUUAGCUAGUUGGUAAGGUAACGGCUUACCAAGGCAACGAUGCGUAGCCGACCUGAGGGGGUGAUCGGCCACACUGGAACUGAGACACGGUCCAGACUCCUACGGGAGGCAGCAGUAGGGAAUCUUCCGCAAUGGGCGAAAGCCUGACGGAGCAACGCCGCGUGAGUGAUGAAGGUCUUCGGAUCGUAAAACUCUGUUAUUAGGGAAGAACAAAUGUGUAAGUAACUAUGCACGUCUUGACGGUACCUAAUCAGAAAGCCACGGCUAACUACGUG